rnacentral:lncRNA from 1 species
CUUGAAUAUCAGGAAGUUCACGGUUCAUGUAUUGCUGAAUAGUCCUAUAUUGACUGUCCUGACGCCUGAAAUGUCCUAUUCAACUUUUUUUUCAAUAAAUUAAAUCACACGUUUUCUGCAGGGUUAUUUUCCAAAUGUAGCUGAGCGUUAAAUUUGCUAGCCAAGGAGAAGUUUGAACACUCAAGCCUAGAGCUUUAUUUAGCAAAUAGAGGCUUUUUCCAGAGCAGUCCGCCGCCCCCUGUACCUAAGCCCUGGAAGCGCGUUGAGUCUCCGGGUUCUAACCUUCUACCCGGAAUAGGACACUGGGAAUUCCUAAACCAGUUGCUGUUCCUUUAAGAGUGGUUCCGGGGGCGGGCCCACAGGGCGUGGCGAAUCCGGGGGUGUGUGCCGGAUCCAGGGUGUCCAAUCCUGGAACGAGGGACGAAAGCUGGGGCGGAUCCGGCACGGGAAGGUUGGGAAGGGUUAAGAGGAGCGUCUUUGGGUCUCGGACGGUCCGGUUGCCUCCGCCUCCUUCUGUCGGGUCCGCGCUCUCCCGCGGCUGCGCCGGCUCGGCAGCCCGGGGGACAAAGCACUGCCGCGGCCGCCGCCACAACCGAGCGGGUCCCGGGCCAUGGCCCGGCCACCCCCUGACUCCGCGCCUCCGGUCCCGCCGCUGCUGCCAUCGCCCUAGGCCGUGCCGAGAGGUCUUUGAGCACCACUACGUGCCAGGCACUGGAAUUCCAACAAAGAAUUUUGCCCUCCUCGAGCAGGCAAAAAUGACCCAGAUGCAGAAACAGAGGCCCAGAGAGGCUUAAAGCUUGCCCAGGAUCACAUAGCUUGGACACUCCAGAGCUGACAUUUGAACCCAAAGAAGAGCAAGUCAAAACCAGAACUGGGCAGAGAGCAGGGAAGUGAGCUGUGGCCUGAGAGGUAGGAGGGAAAUGGGGUGAGUACGGUGGGUGGUUCCUGUGUGAAAUGGGGCUGGGGUCCACAUGGGCCUUGCUGGGGAGUUGGUAGGAAUCCCUCCCACUUUGCAGAGAAAGAAACUGAAGCUCAAGAGAGGGGAGGCCUAAGUCUGAAGUCACAUAGCUCAGGGAGGCAGAGCAGAGAUUAAAUACCUUGAGUAUUCAGGGGCUGUGGCCUUGGUCAGAUCAACUUACUAGGUCAGGACAGGCUGAUAAUAAGCACAAGAUCAUGGCUCAUGUUGCCUCUUCCAGGAAGCCCUUCUUGACUGUGUAGGCUGGUGAGAUGAGGUGGAUUGGGGAUGGAGCAACUGCCUCUUCUGCCCUGGGUCAGGUCGCCUGUCUGGGCCCCACUGUAACCGGCUGCUCCAGCUGAACCGGAGGAGAGAGAGCCUCCUUUCCAGGAAAGCCUCAUUCCUCCAGGUCCUGAGUAAGGCACUGCCCACUGGGGAACGAACAUUAACUGAGCACCUACUGCACUCCAGCGACUUUAUAUACUUUGCUUCUUGAACAAUGUGGCCACUGUCCUAUGUAGAGUGAGGUUUUAAAGCAGGAGCUCAAGAUGCAUUUGUAGCGUGGCCAUGGAAAACCCCAGGGGAGGGCGUAGCCACACUGGAGACUCAUAUGCCACCUAAGUCCUUCCUGGCCAUCAUAUACUCCUUGGAGGGGAGUAGUAAAAUCACUGUGGCCAAGUGCAGAGAGUUAGAUUCCUCUGCUGCAAAUGGAUGCACAGUGCUCUCCCUCCGUCCUCUCUGACUUUUAAGAGUGAACCAAGUCCUGGGCCCUUUGUCUGGAUUUUGUAACAAUCUUUUAUGCCACUCUGACUGCAUCCCCUGCCUCUCCCCUUCCUCACUCUGCUCCAGCCUCACCAACAACCUCAAGCACACUAGCAACUUCCUACCUCAGGGCCUUUGCACUUGCUAUUCCCUCUGCCUGGCAUGUCCCAGGGGCUCAGUCCCUCACCUCCUUCAGGUCUCUGCUCAAAUGUCACCUUCUCAGUACAGCUUUUCUUUUAGAAUCAAACACACCUCUUGUCCUUAAUACUUCUGAUCUCCCCUCCCUGUCUUAUAUUUUCCACACCACUUAAGCCCAUCUGACAGAUGCACCUUACCUGUUUGUUAAUUGUGUACUCCCUUCACCUGCCACCAGCAUAUCAGCACCAGGAGGGCAGCGACCCUCUCUGUCUUGUUUACUGCUCUAUACCUAAUGCCUAGAACAGUGCCUGGCACACACUAGGUGCUUAAUAAAUGUUUGAUGAAUGAAGUCCCUACUGUCCUC